AGUGAACGGUGGCGGUAGGCCUAACACAUGCAAGUCGAACGGCAGCACAGUAAGAGCUUGCUCUUACGGGUGGCGAGUGGCGGACGGGUGAGGAAUACAUCGGAAUCUACUUUUUCGUGGGGGAUAACGUAGGGAAACUUACGCUAAUACCGCAUACGACCUACGGGUGAAAGCAGGGGAUCUUCGGACCUUGCGCGAUUGAAUGAGCCGAUGUCGGAUUAGCUAGUUGGCGGGGUAAAGGCCCACCAAGGCGACGAUCCGUAGCUGGUCUGAGAGGAUGAUCAGCCACACUGGAACUGAGACACGGUCCAGACUCCUACGGGAGGCAGCAGUGGGGAAUAUUGGACAAUGGGCGCAAGCCGGAUCCAGCCAUACCGCGUGGGUGAAGAAGGCCUUCGGGUUGUAAAGCCCUUUUGUUGGGAAAGAAAAGCAGCAGGUUAAUACCCCGCUGUUCUGACGGUACCCAAAGAAUAAGCACCGGCUAACUUCGUG
rnacentral:rRNA from 1 species